rnacentral:lncRNA from 1 species
CAAGAGCCCCUUAAGGGUGGCGUCUUCACAUGACCUUUUAAUGUCUGUAUCUCUGAUCUUCUCAGUGUGAUGAGAAAAGAGAGUCACGCAGCUGGCAAAUGGCAGAGACAUCAUUCAAACCCGGUGGCUGG